UACAGAGGGUGCUAGCGUUGUUCGGAAUCAUUGGGCGUAAAGGGCGUGUAGGCGGUUUGUUAAGUCAGGCGGGAAAGCCCCGGGCUUAACCUGGGAACUGCGUUUGAUACGGUGUGGCUAGAGUUCGGGAGAGGAGAGUGGAAUUCCCAGUGUAGAGGUGAAAUUCGUAGAUAUUGGGAAGAACACCGGUGGCGAAGGCGGCUCUCUGGACCGAGACUGACGCUGAGGCGCGAAAGCGUGGGGAGCAAACAGG
rnacentral:rRNA from 1 species